GCUAUUUCAACAUAUACUAGUGCAUGUCUACCGUGCACGGCAAGUUUUAAUGAAGUUACCAAAACAACAAUUCCAUGCUCGUCUGAAUUACAAUACAGAGUAAACAUUUUAAUAAAAUUACAAAAUCCCUACAAGAAUAUUCAUAAUAUUCUAACAGAAGAGGAAAAAUAACAUCAAUCUCAUCCACACACACUUCCACAAAUGACCACAAAAAACCAAAUCUAACCA
rnacentral:lncRNA from 1 species